rnacentral:lncRNA from 1 species
CUCUUCCUGUCUUCUGUACCCCAGCACACACACACACACACACCCAGCACACACUCACACACACCCAGCACACACACACACACACACACACACACACACACACACACACACAUUCUCUCUCUCUUUCUCCCCUUCCCCCUCCCAAUGCUUGUUGGCCUGGAAAAUUUCUUCCUUGAAGUCUCAGACCAAAGGAAGCCAAAGUGUCCCCAGCAGACUUAGGAACUGCUGGCCCAGUGCUCCCUACAUCUGUACCUUUCCCCACUAAAGUGGUGACCACACUGUUCUCAUCAGUUACAUGUCAGUGUCCUUACCUAACUGGGCUCCAGUGGCCAGGGCUGGAAUGUUUUUUGUCUACAUCUUGGAAACCAGCCUAGGGCCUAAGCCCACAGCACAUCCUCCGUAAGCACGGCUCGAAUGAAUGAAUGCACCAAUGAAGAAACCACAACUCAUCCUGGCAGGUCAGAGACAGCACAGCCUCAGGGACCCAGGGGUGAGUUAUUAAACUGGCAAAGACCAGAGCUACCAAACUUCGAGGUUAUCCAGUCUCAAACCGUUACUCUACUGAGAAUAAUAAGGUAAGGCUCAGAGAAGGGCACACAAGUUAGGUGCCAAGCCAGAACUCGACUCCAGGCUUUCUGGCUCUUGGCCUUGGGCUAAUUUCACUGCUUCAGCCCAAGAGAAGUUUAAAUCUGCUCUGUGUAACUGGGAGGCCCUGCUGGCAGUUCCAUCCCUAGCUCUUCAUUUCCCUCACUCCCACAUGAGAGAACCACUGUAGCCAACCUCACCAAGCCUCGGUUGCCGCAUCUUUCUAAUGGGGAAAAUCUGUGGGGACUCCCAGAGCUGCAGGAGGGCUCAGAGAGAUCAGGAUGUGAAGGCAGUGGUGUAGGGGGCGUGUUGGAAGCACUGGGCUCUGAGGUCAGCCAGAGCAGGGUCUGAAUCUCAGUUCUGCCCCUUGCUCCCUGUGUGACCUGGAGCAAGUGACCCUCCCUCUCUGAGCUUCACUUCAUCAUCUGUAAAAUGGACAGUAGGCGUCUAACUGCACCUGGGAGUGUGGAUCAAAUGCAAUUAGGUGGCGCCAUGCAGUGAACACAGAGCUGGGCAUGUAGUAGGCAUACAAUAAGUGCUGGUUAGCCAGCAUCAUUACCCCAGAGUGCUUUCCCUGCUUCGCUCCUCCUUCGCUCUACCAAGGACUUACCUGCCCCCUCCUGCCAGACGUGCUGUGUGUUGGUGACCUUUAGUUAGACAAGGUAAUUCCUGCCCAUGGCUUAAAGGUACCACACUACUCAGAUAACCAUGCUUGCCUGCUCACCCUCGGUGCCUUAACCACAAAGAGCAGCGAAAGGAAAUUCUGGGCUCAGCUGGGUGACUCACGCCUGUAAUCCCAGCACUUUGGGAGGCCAGGGCGGGCGGAUCACUUGAAGUCAGGAGUUGGAAACCAGCCUGGCCAACGUGGUGAAACCCCAUCUCUACUAAAAAUAUAAAAAUUAGCCAGGUGUGGUGGCACACGCCUGUAGUACCACAUACUCGGGAGGCUGAGAUGGCAGAAUCGCUUGAACCUGGGAGGCAGAGGUUGCAGUGAGCCGAGAUGGUGCCACUGCACUCCAGUCUGGGGGUAGAACGAGACUCUAUCUUAAUUUAAAAAAAAAAAAAAAAAAACGCCUGGCGUGGUGGCUCACACCAAUAAUCCUAGCACUUUGGAGGUCAAGGUGGGCGGAUUACCUGAGGUCGGGAGUUCAAGACCAGCCUGGCCAACAUGGUGAAACCCUGUCUGUACUAAAAAUACAAAAAAUUAGCCGGGUGCAGUGGCGCACGCCUAUAAUUCCAGCUACUCUGGAGGCUGAGGCAGGAGAAUCACUUGGACCCGGGAGGCAGAGGUUGCAGUGAGUAGAGAUGGUGCCACUGCACUCCAGCCUGGGCGAUAGAGCGAGACUCCGUCUUAAUUUUUUAAAAAAAGGAAAUUCUGAAGUGGAUGGGAAAGUUAGUGUUUCGACAACAGCCCCGCAACCUCCAUGCAUCCUGAUCUCCCUGAGCCCUCUCUGCAGCCCUGAGUCUCCACAGACUUUUUCCUAAUAGACAGAUGUGGCAACCGAGGCUCAGUAAGUUUGGCUACAACCCUUCUCUCAUCUGAGAAUGAGGAAAAUCAGCUCCUUUAUACCCCAAGCUGUGCGACCUCAGGCAAGUCAGCUCACCUCCCUGGGCCUCAGUCCCUUCAUCUGUAAAAUGGGCACACUGUCUCUGAGGUGCCCAGCCUAGUGCUGGACUCAGAGCCAACAGCGGUGAGUAAGAGAGUCAGCCUCUCAAAGAGAGAAGAGACCCCAUGAGCCAGCCUGUGGCUGCUGGAGAUGGCCAGGCCCCUUCUGUCCUGCUGUGAAGCGGGUGGGAGGGAGCGGGUCUCAGCUGCCUGCCCUUGUGGAAAACCCAGCCAGAGGCUUGAGUGUUUCCAGGCCUCUCUGGGCAGGGGAUGGGUUACGUAACGCCAGAUGUUUGUGAAACUGGCUCAGGCCCAGGUCUGAGACACACUUUGCAAUCCCAGAGCCACUUAUAAGCUCGCCUUCCCUUCCCCCAUACCUGGCUCCCCGUUGGCCCAGGGCUGGCGAGAGGCUGCUGAUUGGAAGCUUUCAGCUGUGUAGAUUAUUCCAUCACCCCUCACUCCAAAAGCUGAAAGCAGCCCCCAAGCCUGCCCCGGAAGUGGGAAACCCACUCGCUUGCUGAGACCAGGAUGAGCUUAAGAGCUCUGCUCCCACCUCUCCUGUCAUGCGACGGCCCUAGGUGCCUCCUCCUCAGCCCCCACUCUCUCUCCUUUGCUUAACAGCCCCCUCCUCCCUCCCAUCCCCGUCUCUAUCCACCCUCACCCCUCCAGUCCCCACUGGAGCCAGCCUACCCUUCGCCACCUGAGGACCCCCAGAGACAGCAGGAACGGAUUGAACAGCGUGGGCCGGUCCCCGGGCAUCCGCCAUGAGGUCACCAGUCGGCCCUUGAGCGGGCUCCCAGCCUUGCCCUCUGCUGGCCUCUUGUCUGCCUGUCAAACAGGGUCCAGUGUUGGCCCCAGGUCCCUUUGGCAGGAUGGGGGCACCCCUGGCUACAGCCUCCCCUGCCCAUUCUGUGGUGCCCCCCACCAUGGAGCCCCAGGGUUCCCAUCUUUCUCUCCUCCCAGAACUGCCGAGACGAGCUGGUUAACUUGUUCACACUACAUCGUGUUGGACUGACAAGGCUCCCAGGGCUCAGCACCUUUGAAGGUGUGCACGUCAUCACCCUAAAGUCAAACCACGGGCGCCAGCUGGAGGGGGUGCAGACCACAGAUGGGAAGACUGGACUGCUCGAAGUUACAGCACUGCCGUUCGAAGCCACGCAAGAAAUCGGGGCAGGGACGGGGGCAGCAUGGGUGCCAGGUGGAGGUGCAGAGAGAGCGCUGGGUGGUUCCUGGGCCCUGGGUUCUAGUCCCAGUCCAGCUAGCCACUGACUGUAUAACCUGGGACGACUCCCCUGCCUCCAUUUCCUCAUCUGCACAGUGAGGGUUUGGGCAGAAUUCCCCCAGCUUUGACUCACGGCAGGGCCCUACUUGGGGGGCGCUAUGCUGCCCAAUGGACGCUCCCUGCCACCCCUGGCUUCAGGAGGCAACGGGAGGAAGAGCAGGACCGGAAAACACAGCCCCAAACAGUCUGUCUCCUCCUCCCCCACCUCCCACUGCCCCACGGCCCUCAACUCUGAUCUCACCUCUCUGGAGGCUGAGGGUGACGAGAACAGUCUGUUUGGUAGGUCACGGGGAGGGGCGGGCAGAGUUGUGCUCACCAGCUGCAGCCAGGCCUCAGAGCAGCAUCCGUGGGUCCCACCCCCGCACAUAUCUCUCCCGCCUCCAGGACCCUGGAGACCCUCCAGGCCUGGCUGACUGGGUACAUCCUCAGCUCUCUGGCUCCUGCUCGUGGAAGCCCUGCUCUUUCAGCCUGGCCUGGCCCUUUCAAACCGGAAGGAUCUCUUCCCACAGAGACCACUGGGGCCAAACCAUCAUUUGCGCAGGGAAAGACAUUGACCUUUUCAGUCCCAGCAAAUGAGAAGCAUGGCCUAGGGUUCUGACCCCAGGAUCGCCCACCUACCCAGGUCCCCAAGCCAGAAGGUGGCUCCUGCAGAGCCCCUCUUCUUAAGGCCCCACCAUGCACAUAGAUGACCCCAUGGCAAUGCCAACUUUGGUCUGGUUGAUUCUAGGGCUCUUCUGAGGAAUGAAGCCCAUCUCCAACCUGCUUCCCCCUCCCUUCCCCACCGUAUGUACCCACACCCAUGACCCAGCUACCGAGUCUGCCUGCUUCUGGUCAGUCAGGGGGUCUUGGCCUCUGCUUGGUUCUGACUCCUCAGGCUCCUCUGGUUGGAACUGGAGAUUAAAAAAAGAACACAGCUUAGCCCAACUUAUUCUCCAGGAUGCAUGCAUCUGUCCACCUCAUCCAUCCAUUCUAUCAUCUGUCCAUGCAACACCCAUCUAACGUCCAGCAUCAGUAGAUCCAUGUAUCCAUCCAACCAUCCAGUGUCUAUCACAUGACUCACCCUCUCAUGUACCCAUCAUCCAUUGUCUAUCACCCAUUCAUGUAUCUACCCUCCAUUGAUCCAUCACAUAUCCAUUUACCCAAUACCUACAUAUCCCUCUCUCCAUCCAUCAUCCAUCUACCCAUAUCUCCAACAUCUAUCAUCUGACAUUCAUCCACCCAUGCCACAUCUAUCCAUUCAUAUUCCACCCAAAGUUCAUCCAUCCAUCACCUAAGCAACAUCCAUCAUAUAUCCACCACCACCAUAUAUUCAUCACCCAGCUAUCCAUCCAUCAUCACCCAUCUGUCAUCCAUCCAAAAGAUGUCUAUUAUUCAUUCAACAUGCAUCAUUGAUCCAUCAUCCAUUCACACAUUCACCCUCCAUUCAUUCAUUGUUCACCCACUGACCCCUGUGUCCUCCAUCUUGCAUGCAUCCACUGAGCUGUCCCCUCCUUUAUGUCAGGCCCUGGGCCAGAGCUAGAGUUACAGAGAUAAAGCAGGUAGAGAUCCUGCCUGUGUGGAGCUUAUGGGGAAAUGACAACCCUAUUAGAUGGAUGUUGCAUGGACAAAUGGAAGCAAAACUGCCAAGCCCAGAAGGGGACCAUUACUAGGAGUGACUGUUCAGGGAAGGCUUCUCAGGACAGGGAGCCUGACCUAAGACUUCGACAAUGAACAGGCGUUUGGUGGCUGAACAGGGAAGAGCAUGUGCAAAGGCAGGGAUAUGUGCUCACAGGCCCUGCAGCCAGCUCAGCACCAAUGAGGCAAAUCCGGAGUGGAAGGAAGGGAAGCCGGCCUUGAGUGCCAUGCCAAGGAUUUUUUUUUUUUUUUUUUUUGAGAUGGAGUCUCGCUCUGUCACCCAGGCUGGAGUGCAGUGGCGUGAUCUCGGCUCACUGCAACUUCCACCUCCCGGGUUCACACCAUUCUCCUGUCUUAGCCUCCCAAGUAGCUGGGACUACAGGCACCCGCCACCACGCCCGGCUAAUUUUUUGUAUUUUUAGUAGAGACGGGGUUCCACCGUGUUAGCCAGGCUGGUGUCGAUCUCCUGAGCUCGUGAUUUGCCUGCCUCAGCCUCCCAAAGUGCUGGGAUUACAGAUGUGAGCCACUGCACCCAGCUGUGCCAAGCCAAGGAUUUUCAUAGAGAGGAGCAGCUGGAGCCCCAGCAGGACCUGGUGGUUACUCGUUUUGUCAUCUGUGAAAUUCCUUUCAGUACAUGGUGCUCCCAUCCCUUCCCAGCCACCAUCUCCUAGCCUCCUGAGAACCCUGAGCUUCACCAUGAAACUGAAGAAUCUUUCUAACUUCCUUCUUGACCUGGCCGGCCUGUGGCACCCAGCAUGCCCCGGGACACAGCACCGUGUCCUCCUUGAGCUGUCUGUGUGCCUUCCUAACAAGCCUGACAGCAAUCUGAGGGCAGGACGAGCUGACUUAUCCCUGCUUCUCUGAUGUCCACGCAUUGAGUUGAUUGGAGGGUCAACUCAUCAAAGCCACAGGGAAAUACAGGGGAGAGGGUUCUCCAGUCCUCCCAUGGGCUCAGGAGCUUUGUGACGUGGUGGCUAAAAGCACAGACUUAGGCCGGGCAUGGUGGCUCGCACCUGUAAUCCCGGCACUUUGGGAGGCCAAGGUGGAUGCAUCACCUGAAGUCAGGAGUCCAAGACCAGCCUGACCAACAUGGAGAAACCCCAUCUCUACUAAAAACACAAAAUUAGCCGGGCAUGGUGGCACAUGCCUGUAAUCCCAGCUACUCGGGAGGCUGAGGCAGGAGAAUAGCUUGAACCUGGGGGGCGGAGGUUGCAGUGAGCUGAGAUUGUGCAAUUGCACUCCAGUCUGGGCAACAAGAGCGAAACUCCGUCUCAAUAAGUAAAUAAAUAAAUAAAAAUAAAAGCAC